UGGGGCGAGCGAGCGAUUUGAAAAUUUUAAUAAAAAAAUAUUUAAUUUGCAAAUUUUUGAGGCGAAGCUUAAAAAGUAAAGGCGAGCGAUUAUAUAUUUUUUUUUGUAAACAUAAAAUAGUAGGUUUUGACUAUAUUAAAACUUGAUUAAGGCCGUACGGUGACCUAUAGUUGUUAAUGUUUGUGUCAUUUUGGUCUUUUGGGGAUAGUUG
rnacentral:lncRNA from 1 species